rnacentral:rRNA from 1 species
AUUGAACGCUGGCGGCAUGCCUAACACAUGCAAGUCGAACGAGUGGCGGACGGGUGAGUAAUGUCUGGGAAACUGACCGUUGGAGGGGGAUAAAUCCUGGGAACGGUAGCUAAUACCGCAUACCAUCGGAUGUGCCCAGAUGGGAUUGGCUUGUAGGUGGGGUAACGGCUCACCUAGGCGACGAUCCAUAGCUGGGCUGAGAGGAUGACCAGCCACACUGGAACUGAGACACGGCCCAGACUCCUACGGGAGGCAGCAGUGGGGAAUAUUGCACAAUGGGCGCAAGCCUGAUGCAGCCAUGCCGCGUGUAUGAAGAAGGCCUUCGGGUUGUAAAGUACUUUCAGCGGGGAAGCGUUACCCGCAGAAGAAGCACCGGCUAACUCCGUGCCAGCAGCCGCGGUAAUUC